UCUGCUUUCUUGUUUUGGGACUUCAGAAUGUGGGAAUUUUCCCCUUGGUCAGGCUGAUCUUUCUCUAUCUGAUGGCAUGAAGUUGAGCCCUUGGAAAGGACAGGGAAGAACAGCAGCAGCUUGGCUCUGAGCAAUCACUUUGGCUGGCAGUCUGGGAGAGAACACAGCCUGUUGACUGGCAGUGAUAUAAAUAUUCAGGGCUGGAUUGACAGUAUGCAGGACAUAAGCCUGCUGGGAACAGUGAAAUUGAGACAUGACUUCUUUCCUUCUUUUGUGCUCCUUUGUGAAGGCAUGAAGGGUGUCCAGCAACAAGUUCCUUUCCUUCCCCAAAAUAAGGUGUUAGAGGACAAAUGGAGCUGAGCGACGAGGAGUUGUUGGUAUUGUUUUCCUCUUGGUUUCAAGUUCUGCAAACAAAGCUAGAGCUGGAUAUAUCAGAAAGACUUCAGCCUACAGGAUUCCUUUUAUUCCCUUGCCAACACUGUGGUUGCACUUAGAUAAAAGGAAGAGCUCCCUAAAUACUCUAAGAAAGAAGCCUCAGUCCUGGUGGUGUUGCCAAAGCUGCCCUACAUUCCGUCAUCCCCCGUCAGAAAUGCUCCGUGGCCCCAAGUACCACCAUGACCCAGCUGAAGACUCCAGCUGCUGGAGCCUGCUAAAGGCAUUUGCAAGGGACAAGUUGCUGAGAAGUGAGCAAAGUUCUGGAAAACAGCAGCUCUUCCUUUCAAAUAUCCAAUUAAACUGAUGGUCCUUAUGUUCCUCAAGAGUGAGAAGUAUUAUGGCCAAACUG